UGGGGGUAUAGCUCAGUUGGCUAGAGCGUUUGAAUGGCAUUCAAAAGGUCGUCGGUUCAAUUCCGACUACCUCCAG
rnacentral:tRNA from 1 species